CCUACGGGGGGCAGCAGUGGGGAAUAUUGGACAAUGGGGGAAACCCUGAUCCAGCGACGCCGCGUGAGUGAAGAAGUAUUUCGGUACGUAAAGCUCUAUCAGCAGGAAAGAAAAUGACGGUACCUGACUAAGAAGCCCCGGCUAACUACGUGCCAGCAGCCGCGGGAAUACGUAGGGGGCAAGCGGUAUCCGGAUUUACUGGGUGUAAAGGGAGCGUAGACGGCAGCGCAAGUCUGGAGGGAAAUGCCGGGGCCCAACCCCGGAACUGCUCUGGAAACUGUACGGCUGGAGUGCAGGAGAGGUAAGUGGAAUUCCUAGUGUAGCGGUGAAAUGCGUAGAUAUUAGGAGGAACACCAGUGGCGAAGGCGGCCUGCUGGGCUUUUACUGACGCUGAGGCUCGAAAGUGUGGGGAGCAAACAGGAUUAGAUACCCCAGUAGUC
rnacentral:rRNA from 1 species